rnacentral:rRNA from 1 species
GACGAACGCUGGCGGCGUGCCUAAUACAUGCAAGUAGAACGCUGAAGGAGGAGCUUGCUUCUCUGGAUGAGUUGCGAACGGGUGAGUAACGCGUAGGUAACCUGCCUGGUAGCGGGGGAUAACUAUUGGAAACGAUAGCUAAUACCGCAUAAGAGUAGAUGUUGCAUGACAUUUGCUUAAAAGGUGCAAUUGCAUCACUACCAGAUGGACCUGCGUUGUAUUAGCUAGUUGGUGGGGUAACGGCUCACCAAGGCGACGAUACAUAGCCGACCUGAGAGGGUGAUCGGCCACACUGGGACUGAGACACGGCCCAGACUCCUACGGGAGGCAGCAGUAGGGAAUCUUCGGCAAUGGACGGAAGUCUGACCGAGCAACGCCGCGUGAGUGAAGAAGGUUUUCGGAUCGUAAAGCUCUGUUGUAAGGGAAGAACGAGUGUGAGAGUGGAAAGUUCACACUGGGACGGUAUCUUACCAGAAAGGGACGGCUACUACGUG